AUUGAACGCUGGCGGCAGGCUUAACACAUGCAAGUCGAGCGGAGAUGAGGUGCUUGCACCUUAUCUUAGCGGCGGACGGGUGAGUAAUGCUUAGGAAUCUGCCUAUUAGUGGGGGACAACAUUCCGAAAGGAAUGCUAAUACCACAUACGUCCUACGGGAGAAAGCAGGGGAUCUUCGGACCUUGCGCUAAUAGAUGAGCCUAAGUCGGAUUAGCUAGUUGGUGGGGUAAAGGCCUACCAAGGCGCCGAUCUGUAGCGGGUCUGAGAGGAUGAUCCGCCACACUGGGACUGAGACACGGCCCAGACUCCUACGGGAGGCAGCAGUGGGGAAUAUUGGACAAUGGGGGGAACCCUGAUCCAGCCAUGCCGCGUGUGUGAAGAAGGCCUUAUGGUUGUAAAGCACUUUAAGCGAGGAGGAGGCUACUGAGACUAAUACUCUUGGAUAGUGGACGUUACUCGCAGAAUAAGCACCGGCUAACUCUGUGCCAGCCGCCGCGGUAACAC
rnacentral:rRNA from 1 species